rnacentral:rRNA from 1 species
UACGUAGGGGGCAAGCGUUGUCCGGAAUCAUUGGGCGUAAAGGGCGCGUAGGUGGCCCAGUCAGCGUGCGGUGAAAGCUCGGGGCUCAACCCCGGGUCGGCCGUGCGAACUACUGGGCUGGAGCACUGUAGAGGCAGGCGGAAUUCCGGGUGUAGCGGUGGAAUGCGUAGAGAUCCGGAAGAACACCGGUGGCGAAGGCGGCCUGCUGGGCAGUUGCUGACACUGAGGCGCGACAGCGUGGGGAGCAAACAGG